GCCUGGCUGGCUCAGUUGGUAGAGCAUGUGACUCUUGAUCUUGGGGUUGUAAGUUCAAGUCCCAUGUUGGGUG
rnacentral:tRNA from 1 species